UACGUAUGGUGCGAACGUUGUUCGGAAUCACUGGGCGUAAAGAGCACGUAGGCGGUUAAGCAAGUCCAUUGUGAAAUCCCCCGGCCUAACCGGGGAACUGCAUUGGAUACUACUUGACUUGAGUGCAGGAGGGGAGAGUGGAAUUCCAGGUGGAGCGGUGAAAUGCGUAGAUAUCUGGAGGAACGCCGGCGGCGAAAGCGACUCUCUGGUCUGUAACUGACGCUGAGGUGCGAAAGCUAUGGGAGCAAACGGG
rnacentral:rRNA from 1 species